rnacentral:rRNA from 1 species
UACAGAGGUCUCAAGCGUUGUUCGGAUUCAUUGGGCGUAAAGGGUGCGUAGGCGGCGCGGUAAGUCGGGUGUGAAAUCUUGGAGCUUAACUCCGAAACUGCAUUCGAUACUGCCGUGCUUGAGGACUGGAGAGGAGACUGGAAUUUACGGUGUAGCGGUGAAAUGCGUAGAUAUCGUGAGGAAGACCAGUGGCGAAGGCGGGUCUCUGGACAGUUCCUGACGCUGAGGCGCGAAGGCCAGGGGAGCAAACGGGG